rnacentral:rRNA from 1 species
GACGAACACUGGCGGCGUGCUUAACACAUGCAAGUCGAACGGAAAGGCCCUGCUUUUGUGGGGUGCUCGAGUGGCGAACGGGUGAGUAACACGUGAGUAACCUGCCCUUGACUUUGGGAUAACUUCAGGAAACUGGGGCUAAUACCGGAUAGGAGCUCCUGCUGCAUGGUGGGGGUUGGAAAGUUUCGGCGGUUGGGGAUGGACUCGCGGCUUAUCAGCUUGUUGGUGGGGUAGUGGCUUACCAAGGCUUUGACGGGUAGCCGGCCUGAGAGGGUGACCGGCCACAUUGGGACUGAGAUACGGCCCAGACUCCUACGGGAGGCAGCAGUGGUGAAUAUUGCACAAUGGGCGGAAGCCUGAUGCAGCAACGCCGCGUGCGGGAUGACGGCCUUCGGGUUGUAAACCGCUUUCGCCUGUGACGAAGCGUGAGUGACGGUAAUGGGUAAAGAAGCACCGGCUAACUACGUG